rnacentral:rRNA from 1 species
GACGAACGCUGGCGGCGUGCUUAACACAUGCAAGUCGAACGGAAAGGCCCUGCUUUUGUGGGGUGCUCGAGUGGCGAACGGGUGAGUAACACGUGAGUAACCUGCCCUUGACUUUGGGAUAACUUCAGGAAACUGGGGCUAAUACCGGAUAGGAGCUCCUGCUGCAUGGUGGGGGUUGGAAAGUUUCGGCGGUUGGGGAUGGACUCGCGGCUUAUCAGCUUGUUGGUGGGGUAGUGGCUUACCAAGGCUUUGACGGGUAGCCGGCCUGAGAGGGUGACCGGCAACUUGGGGACUGAGAUACGGCCCAGACUCCUAGGGGGGGGAGAGGGGGGGAAUUUGACACAAUGGGGGGAAGCCUGAGGCAGCAACGCCGGGUGGGGGAUGGGGGCCUUCGGGUUGAAAACCGCUUUCGCCGGUGACGAAGGGUGAGUGACGGUAAUGGGUAAAGAAGCACCGGCUAACUACGU